CUCCUACGGGAGGCAGCAGUAAGGAAUAUUGGUCAAUGGGCGCAAGCCUGAACCAGCCAUGCCGCGUGCAGGAAGACGGCCCUACGGGUUGUAAACUGCUUUUGCAGGGGAAUAAACCCCCAUUCGUGAAUGGGGUUGAACGUACUCUGACGAAUAAGGAUCGGCUAACUCCGUGCCAGCAGCCGCGGUAAUUC
rnacentral:rRNA from 1 species